ensembl:lncRNA
GUUUCGUUUUUUGGGGUACUCUCCCUCUGCCAUGGUGCUCCUGUUCCUAGAUACACUGAACUGAUUAAUUCGGUUCGGGAGAAGAGAUAAAAGCCCGCCCACACUGAAAAUUGAUUGGUUGACUUACCGAAACAGGCCAAUCAGGAUGCUUCAUGAGGCACACACUCACACUGCCACACACACGCACAGUCUCUAGGUCCCUCUCCCUCUCUGUCGUGCGCGCGCUACACAGAUGCUUACGCGGUUUGUAGCACGUCUGUCUCAAGUGCGCGGUCUUGCUCGCUCGCUAUAGAUUCCGGGAGAUUUUAAGUAAUUUGCGGGCAUCAGGGAGUUGCUAUCAAUAUGCGGGAGACUUCCGGGAGACUUGGGAUGUCUGCCGUUGCCGACUCUACAAUUCAGUUCGGCAAAGUAAAGUAAAUAGGGAGAGUCUCCGUUGAAGCUUCCAACGCUACGUGCCAAAAGCGAAAAAAGCAAAACCGAAACCGAAUUCCCAGCACAGAUUCCGUACUCGGCUCUAGUCUUCUUGUUGGAUGGGUAGACCCUAUUCCGUUAGUGAGCUACUUUUUUUUUAAGUAGCUACAGGAAGGCAGUCUACUUUUCGUCUUUUGAGACUUGGUAAAUCUGCCUUUUGUCCUUGAUCAUUGUCUCCGAAAUCAAUAAUGGGGAGCACAAUCACCCAUGUGGCCAACGCCUCGGGGAUGCCCAUCCGGGUUUACUACAGCGUGGAUCAAAUGCGGCUGGAGGAGCUGGUGAUGGAAGUUAAUGUCAGAGGGGAAGCCACUGGGAUUAGAGAAGCGAGCCAAUCAACAAAGAUGAUUUUCAAAGCCGACUCCCGUGUCCGCUUCAUACUUAUUCCGGCAAAAGAGUUCGGCAAAAUUAUAGAAAGAGGGCCACUUUACGUCACCGUCUUUUUGGAGAGCAACGACUCCAGUAAUGAAUGCCUGAAGUCCAUCGCGGAGAAUUUCUGCAUCCCCAAUAACAGGUCCUUUAUUGUGACGAAAAAAGGCCACAUAAAGUGGCAGAAAUAUGGGGAAAACAUUUGGGAAGAUGAGCAAGGCAACAGACACUAGCUAUUAUCUAGCUGUUGCUAUUAAGUAGAGCAACGUUGAGUAUUCAAUAAGGAUAGGAAUCAGAUAAUAUGAAUGUUUUUAAAUUUACAGUUUUUCUCCCUGCCACUGAGAAGUACUUCACAUUAUUAUUUUUUUAAUUAACGGGUUCAAUAAAUGACCAAUAGGUGGCGGUGGUGCACUUUGCACAGUUGUCUCUUCAUACUCAAUGAAUAAACGUCAAAGAUACAGUCCCCAAAUCCUGAUGAAAGGUUGCUGAUAUGUAUGUUUUUUUUUUGUUUUUUUGGAGCACACACACUGGAUGGAUAGCUAAAGGAAUGUGAUGGGAAUUUCGCUGAAUUGCAUGUAGAGUGGUGUAUUUCUCAUUCAAAAAGUUCAAAUGGAAUCAAUUUAACAAUAUGGAAAUAGUUUUUCAAACAAACUACAGCAUUACAAACAGGUUAAAAAUAUUGACUUAGGAAGUAGAGUAAGACAUCGAAGAGCCACAACAUUGUAACUGAAAGGAGGAGGCUCCUGCUGGAUAAGAAUGUGUGGAUAAAGAAUGUGUAAUAUGAUUCAUAUUUGAUCAUCUGUACAGUCUCUCAAGGACUUGUGUGAACAUACCACAUACUGACGUAACAGGCACGGCCCGUUACUCAGUAUCCUACCCAUAGAGAUCCUCGAAAACGAUUAUGUUACAUUUUCGGGAGAAGGGAUCUUUUACGCCAGCGUCUUUUGGCAGCUGCAGUGGUGAAUGACUGGAGAGUAAUAAUAGUAAUAAUUCAUUUAAUUUGUAAUGCACUCUUCAUUCAGAAGAAUCUCAGAGUGCCAUCCCCAAUGGUCCGUUAUUGUGACGGAAAACCACGACACCAAGUUCCUUGUUUCUGUAGAAAAAUGACCUAUGUUUUUGCUGAAUGGUGAAAUAUUUUAUAUUGUGAAUGUAAAUGACCUACACAGUAGCAAAAUAUUGCCCACACUUUUGACUGAAUUUUGACGGCCUAAUUACUUGCUUGUGACAUGGUAGCCUAUUUUCCCAGUCAUUUUACCAAAAUAUUAUAUUUUCACUGUAAAAUUGUAUGUUUUCUACAUAUUAUGUCAGUAAACAAUAAGGUUAAAACCAAAGAGCAAAAUAGCAGUGGACAACCAGUCAGUGGUUCACUGGCCUUUAGAUAUCUGGGAUGAUUCAUUUGGGGCUGUCCAAAGGAAAUUCCCUUCUCAGAGUCUUGGAGGACACGCAUUGCUUCCGUCUUAGCCAGGAGAGGAUGGAUGCCAUUGCAAGAACUUCCAGUUCGUAGUUUGUAUGCCUAUAGGCCUACUUAUAGCCCACCCAAGUAGCAAAAAAACAGCGGAAUGGCUGCCCGACUCGGCCAAACUCUGUUGUUGAAUCUAGGUCCAGCCCAAACACUCAGCUUGAAAGCGUUGCGACUGUCGGGUACCGCAUGUUUAUGAAUCGGACCAUUACUUUUGACUACCUCCAGGUGCUGCGGUGUGUGUGUGUGUGUGUGUAUAUACAGUAUACAAGAGAAAGUGGUUUCAAGUCCAGUCAUUGCAUUAUGUGUAGCAGGGGCUGGGGACCACUUCAUCCAAGUGCUGUGAUGUUCUGUGUAGAAGGAGCCAGGGACCAGACUCGAUCCAGGCGCUGUGGUGUUUAUAGCAGGCGCUAGGGAUCACGGAGUG